GCCUCCGUAGCUUAAUGGAUAAAGUUCUGGUCUUCGGAACCAGCGAUGAGGGUUCGAGUCCUUCCGGGGGCA
rfam:Candidatus Staskawiczbacteria bacterium RIFCSPHIGHO2_02_FTLL_34_9 rifcsphigho2_02_scaffold_14492, whole genome shotgun sequence.